AUUGAACGCUGGCGGCAGGCCUAACACAUGCAAGUCGAACGAGUGGCGGACGGGUGAGUAAUAUAUGGGAAUCUCCCUUCUCGUGGGGGAUAACUUAGGGAAACUUUCGCUAAUACCGCAUACCAUUGGAUGUGCCGAUGUGGGCUUAGCUAGUUGGUGGGGUAAAGGCUCACCAAGGCGACGAUCCGUAGCUGGUCUGAGAGGAUGACAAGCGAAACUGGAAAUGAGACACGGUACAGACUCCUACGGGAGGCAGGAGUGGGGAAUAUUGGACAAUGGGCGAAAGCCUGAUGCAGCCAGGCCGCGUGGAUGAAGAAGGCCGUCGGGUUGUAAAGUGCUUUUGUCGGGGAAGCGGUACACAAAGAAGAAGCACCGGCUAACUUCGUGCCAGCAGCCGCGGUAAUAC
rnacentral:rRNA from 1 species